GCAGAAGUGGUGAAAUUGGUAGACACGCACGUUUCAGGGGCGUGUGGCGAAAGCCGUGUGGGUUCGAGUCCCACCUUCUGCA
rnacentral:tRNA from 1 species